rnacentral:lncRNA from 1 species
GUGCUAGUUGGCCGAAGAAGAUUUGCUCGCCCACCAAUCAAAUGACGCCUCGUAAAAUUCUCUGCUCGAGGUCGGGUUAGCUGAAGAUCUCGUGUGACGCUGCUGUUGUGAACGAUGUUGGGAUUGGUGUGGGGGGUGUUUUGCAGAAUGGUGACGGUGAGAUCGUAGGGUGUCGAUAUGGAGCUAGGCGAGGAGUCUUCUCUUGCCUGGAGGGGGAAG